UUCUAUGGUUGACCUCGGAUCAGGUAGGGAUACCCGCUGAACUUAAGCAUAUCAAUAAGCGGAGGAAAAGAAACCAACAGGGAUUGCCUCAGUAACGGCGAGUGAAGCGGCAACAGCUCAAAUUUGAAAUCUGGCCCUCUCAGGGUCCGAGUUGUAAUUUGGAGAAGAUGCUUCGGGUGUGGCCCCGGUCUAAGUUCCUUGGAACAGGACGUCACAGAGGGUGAGAAUCCCGUACGUGGCCGGUGGCCGCGCCCAUGUGAAGCUCUUUCGACGAGUCGAGUUGUUUGGGAAUGCAGCUCAAAAUGGGUGGUAUAUUUCAUCUAAAGCUAAAUAUUGGCCAGAGACCGAUAGCGCACAAGUAGAGUGAUCGAAAGAUGAAAAGCACUUUGGAAAGAGAGUUAAACAGUACGUGAAAUUGUUGAAAGGGAAGCGCUUGCAACCAGACUUGCGCGCGGCCGAUCAUCCGGUGCUCGCACCGGUGCACUCGACCGCGCGCAGGCCAGCAUCGGUUUGGGCGGUUGGAUAAAGGCCCCAGGAAUGUGGCUCUCUUCGGGGAGUGUUAUAGCCUGGGGCGCAAUGCAGCCCGCCCGGACCGAGGACCGCGCUUCGGCUAGGAUGCUGGCGUAAUGGUUGUCAGCGACCCGUCUUGAAACACGGACCAAGGAGUCUAACAUCUAUGCGAGUGUUUGGGUGCUAAACCCAUACGCGUAAUGAAAGUGAACGGAGGUGAGAACCCUUAAGGGUGCAUCAUCGACCGAUCCUGAUGUCUUCGGAUGGAUUUGAGUAAGAGCAUAGCUGUUGGGACCCGAAAGAUGGUGAACUAUGCCUGAAUAGGGUGAAGCCAGAGGAAACUCUGGUGGAGGCUCGCAGCGGUUCUGACGUGCAAAUCGAUCGUCAAAUUUGGGCAUAGGGGCGAAAGACUAAUCGAACCAUCUAGUAGCUGGUUCCUGCCGAAGU
rnacentral:rRNA from 1 species